AGCCCAUGAGGUGAAUUACGCCAAAGUGCAAAUUUGGAGAAGCUCCCCCAAAAGGAGCCGGGGC
rnacentral:tRNA from 1 species